AUUGAACGCUGGCGGCAGGCUUAACACAUGCAAGUCGAGCGGAGUGAUGGUGCUUGCACUAUCACUAGCGGCGGACGGGUGAGUAAUGCUUAGGAAUCUGCCUAUUAGUGGGGGACAACAUCUCGAAAGGGAUGCUAAUACUGCAUACGUCCUACGGGAGAAAGCAGGGGAUCCAUUGUGACCUUGCGCUAAUAGAUGAGCCUAAGUCGGAUUAGCUAGUUGGUGGGGUAAAGGCCUACCAAGGCGACGAUCUGUAGCGGGUCUGAGAGGAUGAUCCGCCACACUGGGACUGAGACACGGCCCAGACUCCUACGGGAGGCAGCAGUGGGGAAUAUUGGACAAUGGGGGGAACCCUGAUCCAGCCAUGCCGCGUGUGUGAAGAAGGCCUUAUGGUUGUAAAGCACUUUAAGCGAGGAGGAGGCUCUUUUGGUUAAUACCCAAGAUGAGUGGACGUUACUCGCAGAAUAAGCACCGGCUAACUCUGUGCCAGCCGCCGCGGUAA
rnacentral:rRNA from 1 species